UACAGGGGGGGCAAGCGUUGUUCGGAAUUACUGGGCGUAAAGGGUCUGUAGGUGGCUUGCUAAGUCAGACGUGAAAUCCCCGGGCUUAACCUGGGAAUGGCGUUUGAAACUACGGAGCUGGAGUGUGGCAGAGGGAGGUAGAAUUCCACGUGUAGCGGUGAAAUGCGUAGAUAUGUGGAGGAAUACCGAUGGCGAAGGCAGCCUCCUGGGCCAACACUGACGCUCAUGCACGAAAGCGUGGGGAGCAAACAGG
rnacentral:rRNA from 1 species